rnacentral:rRNA from 1 species
GAUGAACGCUGGCGGCGUGCUUAACACAUGCAAGUCGAACGGAAAGGCCCUGCUUUCGUGGGGUGCUCGAGUGGCGAACGGGUGAGUAACACGUGAGUAACCUGCCCUUGACUUUGGGAUAACUUCAGGAAACUGGGGCUAAUACCGGAUAGGAGCUCCUGCAGCAUGGUGGGGGUUGGAAAGUCUCGGCGGUUGGGGUUGGACUCGCGGCUUAUCAGCUUGUUGGUGGGGUAGUGGCUUACCCAGGCUUUGAUGGGUAGCCGGCCUGGGAGGGUGAACGGCCACAAUAGGACUGAGGGACGGACCAGACUCCUACGGGGGGCAACGGUGGGAAGUCUUGCACAGUGAGCGGGAGCCUGAUACGGCGGCGCCGCGUGCGGGAAGACGGCCUUCGGGUUGUGAACCGCUUUCGCCUGUGACGAAGCGUGAGUGACGGUAAUGAGUGAAGAAGCACCGGCUAACUACGUG